UAGACCAAAUGCACCCAAACACUUGGUAAUUUUUCUUUUCCUUAUCACCAAAUCAAACUCACAUUUGAAUACCCUCACUUUCGCCAUCUGAUCAGAAAAAAGUUUCGCCCCUCACCUUUGCAAAUCACCUUCGAAUUAAUUCUUCAAAACCCUAACCCUAACACAUCCACACACUCACACUCAUUCUCACCAUCACUCACCACCCCCACCACGCCCCCUUUCACACACACACACCCAGAUCCGAGAGAAAGAGUGAACCAGAGGGAGGAGAGGAGGAGACGGAGAUGAGAGAGCGCGAUCGAGAGAAUGGAGAGUGAGAGGGGGUCACCGCCGCAACGUCGCUGCAGCCGCCGCCAUUGCCGUCGCGGAGCAGGGAGCCCAGAGGGGAGAGAGAGAUGAUUUGCAGACGAGAUGGAGAGAGAGGACGAAGAUGCGACGCAAGAGAGGAGGCUGUUCCGCCGUGCACUGUCGUCGCUGCUGGGUCGAUUGAAGCCACCGCCGUAGCUAGGGCUUGCCGUGCUCCUGGGGUCGAUCUCUGCGCUUCUCAUCGUUGUCUCUGUGCUCACGUCGUCGAUUAGAAGGGAGCUUAAAGAGUUAGGUGUGACACUUCCAAAGGAUGCAUUCGAACUGAUUUUUGUUUUCCUCCAAGAGUGAAUCUUGGCAAAUAGACAUUCUGCACAUAGGAAGCUGCAAUACAUAUCAAAGUUAGAGAGAAGUGUAACUUCAUUUCAGGAUAAUAUUGAGGAUGAUAAUAAAGAUUAAGCUGAUUAUUAUUGUGGUUUAUUGGCUAAGAUAGAGUAGUGUUAGGAAUGAAUACAUGUAUGGUUGAC